CUGUCUAAACUGUUUCAGUCUUGGUUUCAGUAGUCUUCAGCUCAAAAAGUGGUAUUCCUGUAUGAUAUGAUCUUGUUGAGACUUUAAUAAUGUGCAGUAGAGAACAUUGUCAUGAUUGUGGAGGCAUUUAUGUAACAUUUAUGGUUUUAUGUGGUUGCAUUCUUGGAACUUCAUUCAUGAUAGCUGCAUUAUGUAUUAUUAUGACAUACCGUUUACCUGGUUAAUUUUGUGUGAAAUUAAUAUUUGUGCUGGCUCAA